rnacentral:rRNA from 1 species
UGAUGACGAGACGCUAAGGCGUUGAAGCAGAGUAUGUCAGACUUCCAAGAAAAGCUCGCAAUGUCACUAAUAAAAAAUGCCUGUACCAUAACCGACACAGGUGGGUAGGUAGAGUAUACUAAGGGGCGCGAGAUAACUCUCUCUAAGGAACUCGGCAAAAUGACUCCGUAACUUCGGGAGAAGGAGUGCCUUAUUUAUAAGGUUGCAAUAACAAGAUCCAAGCAACUGUUUAUCAAAAACACAGGUCUCCGCUAAGUCGUAAGACGAUGUAUGGGGGCUGACGCCUGCCCAGUGCCAGAAGGUUAAAGAAGUUGGUUAGUGUAUGCGAAGCUGAUGACUGAAGCCCUGGUGAACGGCGGCCGUAACAAUAACGGUCCUAAGGUAGCGAAAUUCCUUGUCGGGUAAGUUCCGACCCGCACGAAAGGCGUAAUGAUUUGGAUACUGUCUCGGAGGGAGGCUCGGUGAAAUAGACUUGUCUGUGAAGAUGCGGACUACCUGCACCAGGACAGAAAGACCCUAUGAAGCUUUACUGUAACUUGAAAUUGGAAUUGGACUUUGCUUGCGCAGUAUAGGUGGGAAGCGUUGAAAAUAUUCUUGCGGGAGUAUUGGAGCUAUCAGUGAGAUACCACUCUUGUAAUGUUAGAUUUCUAACUUUGAACCAUAAUCUGGUCAAAGAACAGUUUCAGGUGGGCAGUUUGACUGGGGCGGUCGCCUCCCAAAUGGUAACGGAGGCGUACAAAGGUUUCCUCUGAACGGAUAGAAAUCGUAUCUAGAGUGUAAAGGCAUAAGGAAGCUUGACUGUGAGACCUACAAGUCGAGCAGGGACGAAAGUCGGUCUUAGUGAUCUGACGGUACUGAGUGGAAAGGCCGUCACUCAACGGAUAAAAGUUACUCUAGGAUAACAGGCUGAUCUCCCCCAAGAGUUCACAUCGACGGGGAGGUUUGGCACCUCGAUGUCGGCUCAUCGCAUCCUGGGGCGGUAGUACGUCCCAAGGGUUGGGCUGUUCGCCCAUGAAAGCGGUACGCGAGCUGGGUUCAGAACGUCGUGAGACAGUUCGGUCCAUAUCCGGUGUAGGCGCUAGAAUAUUGAGAGGAGCCUUCUUUAGUACGAGAGGACCGAGAAGGACACACCGCUGGUGUACCAGUUAUCGUGCCAACGGUAAAUGCUGGGUAGCUAUGUGUGGAGUGGAUAACCGCUGAAAGCAUCUAAGUGGGAAGCCCACCUCGAGAUGAGUAUUCUC